rnacentral:rRNA from 1 species
AGAGUUUGAUCCUGGCUCAGGAUGAACGCUGGCGGCGCGCCUAACACAUGCAAGUCGAACGGUUAAAGCACCUCCGGGUGUGUAUAAAGUGGCGAACGGCUGAGUAACACGUGGGCAACCUGCCCCUCGCACCGGGACAGCCUCGGGAAACCGUGGAUAAUACCGGAUACUCCGCAGCCCCCGCAUGGGGGAGGCGGGAAAGCCCAGACGGCGAGGGAUGGGCCCGCGGCCUGUUAGCUAGUUGGUGGGGCAACGGCCCACCAAGGCGAUUAUGGGUAGCUGGGUUGAGAGACCGACCAGCCAGAUUGGGACUGAGACACGGCCCAGACUCCUACGGGAGGCAGCAGUGGGGAAUCUUGCGCAAUGGGCGAAAGCCUGACGCAGCGACGCCGCGUGCGGGAUGAAGGCCUUCGGGUUGUAAACCGCUUUCAGCAGGGACGAGGCCGCGAGGUGACGGUACCUGCAGAAGAAGCCCCGGCUAACUACGUGCCAGCAGCCGCGGU